AUGAUUUGAGCGAUUAAACGUUUGAGCUGGAAGGGAUGGAUGUACGUUAGGUACAACCCCUUUUUGGCAGAAGAGGGAACUCAGUUUCACAAAAGGGAAGCGAAUUACCUAAAAUCAAAUGCAUAGUAAAUAACACAGUAGGGAUUUCUGUCUCUAUUUCUCUGUCUCUUGCUGGCUCUCUCUGUUUCUAUAUCUGUCUGUGUCUCUCUGUCUCUUUGCUCACUGUUUUUGUCUCUGUCUCUUCUUUGUUUCUUUCUGUGACUGUUUCUGUCUCUCUGUCUUUCUUUCCUCCACGAAACCUGUCAAAUGGAGUAAUUUAAAGCAGUAAUUCCUUUAAAACAGUAAUUCCCAAUUUAGAGUAUGGGAGCUUUGUCAAGGGGAGUAAUGGGAAUAUUUUAGAACUAACUGUAUCAUCCUUUUGAAAUAAAUCAAUCUCUUUCUUUUUUUUUAAUAGUUUUUUUAUUUUCAAAAUAUAUGCAAAGAGUUUUCAGCAUUCACCCUUGCAAAACCUUAAGUUCCAAAUUUUUCUCCCUUCCUUCCUCCCCCCCCCAACAGCAAGUAAUCCAAUAUUAUGUUAAACAUGUGCAAUUCUUCUAGACAUCUUUCUACAUUAUCUUGUUGCACAAGAAAAAUCGCAUUUUUGUAUUUCUUAAAUUACCACGUGUAUGGUAAUUCUAGAAUUUAUUGUCUUUAAUAUCGAAUAAGGGUACAGGAAAGUUUGUCAAAAGUCAAGAGGCACAGGUACCAAAAGAAGAUUGGGAAUCGUUGCUUUAGAAAUAAAAGCAAAACAAACUACAGAGUUGAAGCCGCUGCUUUCUUCCCUCUGAGACGGAUCCUGGGGAAUUCGUUUACCCUCAGCGCCAUAAGACUGAUACCAAGCAGGUCCUAGGUCCGUCUUCCGCCCAGUAUAACCCGGUACAAGAAAGCAGAGAGAGCUCCCUGCAGUGUCCCCCCCUCACCUCGGGGACCACUUGGUCUCCAGAAGUUUCCAGUACCUUCUCUACUGAGCCGCAGUGUCCGUCUGCUUUGGCGCCACCCCUUUUUCCCGCUCCUCUUCCUCGGUCCGCUGGGGAUACUAUUAGUGGUUCAGGGGUGCCCUGCGGCACAGAAGUGUGCACUCCUCCAGGCAGAACUGAGGGUAGGUUUUAGACCGCGGAGAUCUGCAGGUGCCCGGGGACUGCCAGGGGCUGUUACCCAACCUGGGCUGGAAAGAGGCUUAAAGGAGUUGGGUGAGCAGGUGAACCGCGCGGCCUCGGAGGACUGUGGAACUGGAAGCAACAACUCUCAGUAAGAUGAUUUCCCUUCCUCCUUUUCAGAAGCUAAAACGCACACGACCUUCGCCGUUAGAUCUGAAAUCUAUGUCGCGGUCCCUGUGUUAUAAAGGUGGCAACGUCUUGUUAAUGUGUCAAAAAACAUGUGUUUUGAAGAUGUGCUCAUCUUCACCUUAGCUAGUGUACACUUGGAGUUUCACGUUUUCUGCCACGAGCUGCCCUCAAUCUACUGAAGCACCCAGCUGUUCCUACACCUGAAAAGAAUGUUGGUGUUGUCGCUGAUAAGGAUGGAUGGACCGGAAAAGGGGAAAGCUGGGGAUAAUUGGUUUCUGCUGUAGGAUACCAGUCUGGUGUAGGCUAUCUUGUCUCUCUCACUAAUGAAAAAUAAUGAUGAAGCAGUUGAUAAUGGUUAUUUGGCUGCUUUGCAAGGGAUGGCAAUAAUUUAAAAUAGAAAGCUGAACUUGAAAAA